GUCAGCCUACGGGAGGCAGCAGUGAGGAAUAUUGGUCAAUGGGAGAGAUCCUGAACCAGCCAAGCCGCGUGAGGGAAGACGGCCCUAUGGGUUGUAACCCUCUUUUGUCGGAGAACAAAACCCGGGACGAGUCCCGGACUGCGUGUAUCCGAAGAAAAAGCAUCGGCUAACUCCGUGCCAGCAGCCGCGGUAAUACGGAGGAUGCGAGCGUUAUCCGGAUUUAUUGGGUUUAAAGGGUGCGUAGGCGGUCCGUUAAGUCAGCGGUAAAAUUGCGGGGCUCAACUCCGUCGCGCCGUUGAAACUGG
rnacentral:rRNA from 1 species